rnacentral:rRNA from 1 species
GACGAACGCUGGCGGCGUGCCUAAUACAUGCAAGUCGAACGGGAUUCGGAGCUUGCUCCGAUGAGAGUGGCGCACGGGUGAGUAACGCGUAGAUAAUCUGCCUGAUGAUCUGGGAUAACAGUUCGAAAGGACUGCUAAUACCGGAUAAGCCCACGGAGACCUUGGUCUUUGCGGGAAAAGGGGGGGACCUUCGGGCCUUCCGUCAUCAGAUGAGUCUGCGUACCAUUAGCUAGUUGGUAGGGUAAAGGCCUACCAAGGCGACGAUGGUUAGCUGGUCGGAGGGGAGGAGCAGCCACACUGGAACUGAGGCGAGGUCCAGACUUCGACGGGAGGCAGCAGUGGGGAAUUUUGCGCAAUGGGGGAAACCCUGACGCAGCAACGCCGGGUGAGUGAUGAAGGCUCUUGGGUCGUAAAGCUCUGACAGAGGGAAAGAAGUGUAUGGUGGUUAAUACCCAUUGUACUUGACGGUACCCUCAAAGGAAGCACCGGCUAACUCCGUGCCAGCCGCCGCCGUAACAC